rnacentral:rRNA from 1 species
GUGGGGAAUAUUGGACAAUGGGCGCAAGCCUGAUCCAGCCAUGCCGCGUGAGUGAUGAAGGCCCUAGGGUUGUAAAGCUCUUUCACCGAUGAAGAUAAUGACGGUAGUCGGAGAAGAAGCCCCGGCUAACUUCGUGCCAGCAGCCGCGGUAAUACGAAGGGGGCUAGCGUUGUUCGGAAUUACUGGGCGUAAAGCGCACGUAGGCGGAUAUUUAAGUCAGGGGUGAAAUCCCAGAGCUCAACUCUGGAACUGCCUUUGAUACUGGGUAUCUCGGGUAUGGAAGGGGUGAGUGGAAUUCCGAGUGUAGAGGUGAAAUUCGUAGAUAUUCGGAGGAACACCAGUGGCGAAGGCGGCUCACUGGUCCAUUACUGACGCUGAGGUGCGAAAGCGUGGGGAGCAAACAGGAUUAGAAACCCGGGUAGUCC